GCGGGGGCGCGCACGUCGCUACGCACUCUUCGGGCGCCGGCGCGGCCUUCAACAGAACGCCGCCUCCAUUCACGAUUAGGGGAUGGGGACCCAAAGGCCGGGUCUGUUCGGGGGCAGCCGUGAGGUAACAGAGGUGCCGGGCCGCCCCGCAGCCUCUCUGCAGAUCGCGUUUGCUUUUCUCGCUCCCUCCGUUCUAAGGACAGGCAGCACUUGACUGUUAUUUGACUUCAAC